GGUGUCCCAAAAGGAUCCUGACAAAUUGAUCCAAAUCCAACCACCUGCAAGACCAAUUUCUUUUCAUAGGGAUAGUAGGCUGUAUAAGUAAAGUAAUGGCACCACACACAUCCCCAUAAAUGUAAUAUCAUAUCCCAUAUGUAUUGACUAUUUCCAUAUAUAUGCCGCAAAAGAACCAUGCAAAUUCCUCCUGUCCCCAAUCAAACCCCAUCGCCAACACCAGCAGAAGAGCAACUGGACAACAGCUUGCUUUGACAUUUGUAUUUUGUUGGUUUCUAGGACCAAGGUAAUGAUUAAUAGGGAUAGUUGGGGGCAUUAGUAAUUAAUUGUCAGUGGUGAAAUUCUUGGAUUUAUGAAAGACUAACUUCUGCAAAAGCAUUUGCCAAGGAUGUUUUCAUUAAUCAAGAAAGAAAGUUAGGGGUUUGAAGAUGAUCCGAUACCGUUGUAGUCUUAACCAUAAGCUAUGCCAACUUGGGAUUGGUCAAUGUUAUUUUAUGACUUGAUCGGCACCAUAUGAGAAAUCAAAGUUUUUUGGCUCUGGGGGGAGUAUGUUCACAAGGCUGAAACCUAAAGGAAUUGACGGAAGGGACCACCAGGAAUGGAGCCUGUGGCUUAAUUUGACUCAACAUGGGGAAACUCACCAGGUCCAGACAUAGUAAGGAUUGACAGAUUGAGAGCUCUUUCUUAACUCUAUGGGUGGUGGUGCAUGGCCAUUCUUAGUUGGUGGAGUGAUUUGUCUGGUUAAUUCCGAUAAUGAACAAGACCUUAACCUGCUAAAUAGUUAUGUUUACCUUUGUGUAGAUGGUCAACUUCUUAGAGGUACUGCUCAUGUUUAAUUAGUGGAAGCUUGAGGUAAUGACAGGUCUGUGAUGCCUUUGGAUGUUCUGGGCCACACACAUGCUACACUGAUGAAAUCAGCGAGUUUUUUCCUUGGCCAGAAGGUCUGGGUAAUCUUGUAAAACUUCAUUGUGCUGGGGAUUGACCAUUGCAAUUAUUGGUUGUCAACAAGGAACUCCUAGUGAGAGCAAGUCAUCAGCUUGCAUUGAUUACAUCCCUGCCCUUUGUACACACCACCUGUCACUACUACAAAUUGAAUGGCUUAGUGAGACCUUUGGAUUGGUGCUUGGCAGCUGGCAACAGCAGCUGAUUGCUGAGAAGUGGGUCAAACUUGGUCAUUCAGAGGAAGUAAAAGUCGUAACAAGGUUUCCAUAGGUGAACCUGCAGUAG
rnacentral:rRNA from 1 species